CCUACGGGUGACAGCAGUAGUGAAUCUUUCACAAUGGGCGAAAGCCUGAUGGAGCAACGCCGCGUGCAGGAUGAAGGCCUUCGGGUUGUAAACUGCUUUUAUAAGCGAGAAAUAUGAUGGUAACUUAUGAAUAAGGAUCGGCUAACUACGUGCCAGCAGCCGCGGUCAUACGUAGGAUCCGAGCAUUAUCCGGAGUGACUGGGUGUAAAGAGUUGCGUAGGUGGCAUAAUAAGUAGCUAGUGAAAUCUGGUGGCUCAACCAUUCAGACUAUUAGCUAAACUGUUAAGCUCGAGACCGUUAGGGGUAACUGGAACUUCUAGUGUAGGAGUGAAAUCCGUAGAUAUUUGAAGGAACACCAAUAGCGUAGGCAGGUUGCUGGGACGGUUCUGACACUAAGGCACGAAAGCGUAGGGAGCAAACGGGAUUAGAUACCCGAGUAGUC
rnacentral:rRNA from 1 species